rnacentral:lncRNA from 1 species
AUGCUGAGAAACUGAAGAAUUCUCUUUUUGUUGUUGUUAUUAACGUUCUUGUUUGUUUGUUCUCUGUUCUAACUGCUUGGUAGAGCAGCAACCUCGGACUUCAUAAUAAGUAGGAUACUUGCUGAGAAAGAUCUGCAUAAGGAAGUGUGCUUUCACCAUCUCCUCCACCAAAGGGAAUUGUAAUUAAGAGCAGAUUGAGGAGCAAAGAAGUAUUAGAGUCAAAACUUGUCCAG